rnacentral:rRNA from 1 species
CCUACGGGAGGCAGCAGUGAGGAAUAUUGGUCAAUGGACGAGAGUCUGAACCAGCCAUGCCGCGUGCAGGAUGACUGCUCUAUGAGUUGUAAACUGCUUUUAUACGAGGGUAAACCUCGCUACGUGUGGCGGGUUGUAAGUAUCGUAUGAAUAAGGAUCGGCUAACUCCGUGCCAGCAGCCGCGGUAAUACGGAGGAUCCGAGCGUUAUCCGGAUUUAUUGGGUUUAAAGGGUGCGUAGGCGGUUUGAUAAGUUAGUGGUGAAAGGUCGGGGCUCAACCCUGAAAUUGCCGCUGAUACUGUUAGACUAGAGUAUAGUUGAGGUAGGCGGAAUGUAUGGUGUAGCGGUGAAAUGCUUAGAGAUCAUGCAGAACACCGAUUGCGAAGGCAGCUUACCAAACUACAACUGACGUUGAGGCACGAAAGUGUGGGUAGCAAACAGGAUUAGAUACCCGGGUAGUC